rnacentral:rRNA from 1 species
GACGAACCGUCCAAACGUUAUUCGGAAUUAUUGGGCUUAAAGGGUGCGUAGGCUGUGCAGUAAGUUGGGUGUGAAAUCCCUCGGCUCAACCGAGGAACUGCGCCGAAUACUGCUGUGCUAGAGGGAGAUAGGGGUAAGCGGAACUGAUGGUGGAGCGGUGAAAUGCGUUGAUAUCAUCAGGAACACCGGUGGCGAAGGCGGCUUACUGGAUCUCUUCUGACGCUGAUGCACGAAAGCUAGGGGAGCGAACGGG